UUAUAAACGAUAUUUGUCAGAUUUUUCUAUACCAAAACAAGAUGGUACAGAAGUCAAUUGAGAACAGAGGUACGGCCGGCAAGUUCGACCGAGGAGAUUGAUUCAAGGCCUUCAUUUGAAGCUGAAUUCCAGUUGACGGAGACCUUGAUGAUCAAAUGAAUAGCCUACACAGUCUAUGAUUGACUCUUCAGAUGAAGCUGAAUUCCCCUGUGAUGAUCCACCAGACCAUGUUGAGCAAGUGUGUACCCACAAAACGCAAACACACCUAUUGUAAUAGGGAGAACGGAGUGGCAUGUAAGACUUUAUGACAGAAUUCUGCAUUGAUGAUUGAGUAGCCUAGAAAUAUAACAUAUUUGUAUGUAAUACAAUAGGC